rnacentral:tRNA from 1 species
GGAUGAUUAGAGCAGCGGUCAGCUCGGUGCCUUGUCAGGGCAAAGGUCACCGGUUCGAAUCCGGUAUCAUCCGCCA